rnacentral:rRNA from 1 species
GACGAACGCUGGCGGCGUGCCUAACACAUGCAAGUCGAACGGAAAGGCCCUGCUUGCAGGGUGCUCGAGUGGCGAACGGGUGAGUAACACGUGGGUGAUCUGCCCCUUAUUUUGGGAUAAGCCUGGGAAACUGGGUCUAAUACUGGAUAGGACCAUGCUGUAGGUGGUGUGGUGGAAAGAUUAGUUUCGGUAAGGGAUGAGCUCGCGGCCUAUCAGCUUGUUGGUGGGGUAAUGGCCUACCAAGGCGUCGACGGGUAGCCGGCCUGAGAGGGUGGACGGCCACAUUGGGACUGAGAUACGGCCCAGACUCCUACGGGAGGCAGCAGUGGGGAAUAUUGCACAAUGGGCGCAAGCCUGAUGCAGCGACGCCGCGUGGGGGAUGACGGCCUUCGGGUUGUAAACUCCUUUCAGCCAUGACGAAGCCCUUGUGGUGACGGUAGUGGUAGAAGAAGCACCGGCUAACUACGUG